rnacentral:rRNA from 1 species
GGACCGUGUAUAAGUCUCCUGGGAUGGGGCGUCAUAGAGGGUGAGAAUCCCGUCUUUGACACGGACUACCAGUGCAUUGUGGUAUGCUCUCAAAGAGUCGAGUUGUUUGGGAAUGCAGCUCAAAAUGGGUGGUAAAUUCCAUCUAAAGCUAAAUAUUGGCGAGAGACCGAUAGCGAACAAGUACCGUGAGGGAAAGAUGAAAAGAACUUUGGAAAGAGAGUUAAACAGUACGUGAAAUUGCUGAAAGGGAAACGCUUGAAGUCAGUCGCGUUGGCCAGGGAUCAGCCUUGCUUUUGCAUGGUGUACUUUCUGGUUGAUGGGUCAGCAUCAAUUUUGACCGCUGGAAAAAGACCUGGGGAAUGUGGCAGCUUCGGCUGUGUUAUAGCCCCUAGUCGCAUACAGUGGUUGGGAUUGAGGAACUCAGCACGCCGCAAGGCCGGGUUUCGACCACGUUCGUGCUUAGGAUGCUGGCAUAAUGGCUUUAAGCGACCCGUCUUGAAACACGGACCAAGGAGUCUAACAUGCCUGCGAGUAUUUGGGUGGAAAACCCAAGUGCGUAAUGAAAGUGAAAGUUGAGAUCCCUGUCGUGGGGAGCAUCGACGCCCGGACCAGAACUUUUGGGACGGAUCCGCGGUGGAGCAUGUAUGUUGGGACCCGAAAGAUGGUGAACUAUGCCUGAAUAGGGUGAAGCCAGAGGAAACUCUGGUGGAGGCUCGUAGCGAUUCUGACGUGCAAAUCGAUCGU